CCUCCUCCUCCUCCUCCUGCUCCUCCAUCCUCCUGCUCCUCCUCCUCCUCGCCUCCCUGAGCCGCUCCUCCUCUGAGCGGAGACUCGGUUGCCUGUUUGAGAGCGAGCUGUGUUCACCAUAUGAGAUCUGUGUGAACGAGCUGUAAUGGGGCUCAUCUUGAAGGGAACUGACUCAGCAUG